rnacentral:rRNA from 1 species
ACGGUUAACGGAGCGAAAGCGACGUUCAACCUCAAAAGAAGCAGAGGGGGCUUAGUGGUGGGGUGACUGCGUACCUUUUGUAUAAUGGGUCAGCGACUUAUAUUCUGUAGCAAGGUUAACCGAAUAGGGGAGCCGGAGGGAAACCGAGUCUUAAUUGGGCGUUAAGUUGCAGGGUAUAGACCCGAAACCCGGUGAUCUAGCCAUGGGCAGGUUGAAGGUUGGGUAACACUAACUGGAGGACCGAACCGACUAAUGUUGAAAAAUUAGCGGAUGACCUGUGGCUGGGGGUGAAAGGCCAAUCAAACCGGGAGAUAGCUGGUUCUCCCCGAAAGCUAUUUAGGUAGCGCCUCGUGAACUCAUCUCCGGGGGUAGAGCACUGUUUCGGCUAGGGGGCCAUCCCGGCUUACCAACCCGAUGCAAACUGCGAAUACCGGAGAAUGUUAUCACGGGAGACACACGGCGGGUGCUAACGUCCGUCGUGAAGAGGGAAACAACCCAGACCGCCAGCUAAGGUCCCAAAGUCAUGGUUAAGUGGGAAACGAUGUGGGAAGGCCCAGACAGCCAGGAUGUUGGCUUAGAAGCAGCCAUCAUUUAAAGAAAGCGUAAUAGCUCACUGGUCGAGUCGGCCUGCGCGGAAGAUGUAACGGGGCUAAACCAUGCACCGAAGCUGCGGCAGCGAACGUAUCACCCAAGACAACUUUACGGAGUUGACGAUUGACGGAGCGAAGCGACGUCAAAGCGUUCAUUAAAGUCGAGUUGGCUUAGGGAUACGUUCGUUGGGUAGGGGAGCGUUCUGUAAGCCUGUGAAGGUGGCCUGUGAGGGUUGCUGGAGGUAUCAGAAGUGCGAAUGCUGACAUAAGUAACGAUAAAGCGGGUGAAAAGCCCGCUCGCCGGAAGACCAAGGGUUCCUGUCCAACGUUAAUCGGGGCAGGGUGAGUCGACCCCUAAGGCGAGGCCGAAAGGCGUAGUCGAUGGGAAACGGGUUAAUAUUCCCGUACUUGGUGUUACUGCGAAGGGGGGACGGAGAAGGCUAUGUUGGCCGGGCGACGGUUGUCCCGGUUUAAGCGUGUAGGCUGGUUUUCCAGGCAAAUCCGGAAAAUCAAGGCUGAGGCGUGACGACGAGGCACUACGGUGCUGAAGCAACAAAUGCCCUGCUUCCAGGAAAAGCCUCUAAGCAUCAGGUAACAUCAAAUCGUACCCCAAACCGACACAGGUGGUCAGGUAGAGAAUACCAAGGCGCUUGAGAGAACUCGGGUGAAGGAACUAGGCAAAAUGGUGCCGUAACUUCGGGAGAAGGCACGCUGACA